UAGGAUGGUGGGGGUAGCUUGCUACCUGCCGGCGAGUGGCGAACGGGUGAGUAAUACAUCGGAACGUGCCCUGUAGUGGGGGAUAACUAGUCGAAAGACUAGCUAAUACCGCAUACGACCUGAGGGUGAAAGUGGGGGACCGCAAGGCCUCAUGCUAUAGGAGCGGCCGAUGUCUGAUUAGCUAGUUGGUGGGGUAAAGGCCCACCAAGGCGACGAUCAGUAGCUGGUCUGAGAGGACGAUCAGCCACACUGGGACUGAGACACGGCCCAGACUCCUACGGGAGGCAGCAGUGGG
rnacentral:rRNA from 1 species